UACGGGGGGGGCAAGCGUUGUUCGGAAUUACUGGGCGUAAAGGGCUCGUAGGCGGCCAACUAAGUCAGACGUGAAAUCCCUCGGCUUAACCGGGGAACUGCGUCUGAUACUGGAUGGCUUGAGGUUGGGAGAGGGAUGCGGAAUUCCAGGUGUAGCGGUGAAAUGCGUAGAUAUCUGGAGGAACACCGGUGGCGAAGGCGGCAUCCUGGACCAAUUCUGACGCUGAGGAGCGAAAGCAGGGGGAGCAAACGGG
rnacentral:rRNA from 1 species